CGCCAAAGAAUGACUGCAGCAAAACCGGUGGGGAAAGGGACAGCCAAAUCAGGCUAUUUAAUGCAUGCGACAAGCAUUCACUUCCGGGGUGAAGAAUUCCUUUCCGGCCUACAGACCCCGCCCUCACAAAACUGCGGGCAAGUGAAGCGUGCUUCAGCCUCUUCCUCCCCGCGCCUGUCAGUUCACUCUCACUCGCUCAUUCACUGCAGCAUGAGCAUGCCGAGGACCGUGCCAGAUCCUGGGUUCCUCGGGGCAGUGAGGGGCCGGAUUAAUCUAUGCCUCCGUCCUUACCCGUGACCUGUGCACUUGAACAUCCUAUUCCAAGACAGAAAAGUACUCACGGGGUAGCUCCAGGGACCAGCAGCUCCGGCAGGGACCCCCAGGGAACAGGGCUGCCUGCCAACUGGGACCCCAAAGGCUGCUGGUGAGCCCAGGGCAAGGCCGCUGCACCUGCGCCAGGGAUGCUUGAAAUCCACCGAAAGGGGACAGCCACGUGCUUCCCCUCAGGGAUGGAGAGCCUGAGUUGGGUGUGGACCUCAACACUUCCUGAAAGUGAAAACUGAAAGUGUUUGGACAAACUGAGGAGAAAAUCAAGAUUUCUGUUAGAGAGAAAAGAGAAGAGAAGGGAAAAAGGAAGAAGAGAGGGAGAGAAAGAGAAAAGGAGCAAGAUUUAGCUCUAGACUUGAGCCAAUCUGUUACAUUAAGCAAUUUUAAUCUCAGUAGGUCUGUUUUCUCAUCUGUAAUUUGGGCACAAUCCUGACUUCAUGGUGCUCCAGUGAGCUUUGGGAAUAAUCCAUGUUAGCACUCAUAGCGUGGAAUCACCAACAUUUUUUGAGUGCUUACUAUGUCCUAGGCCCUGUUCUAGGUGCUUUUCAUGGAUUCAUUAAAAAAAUCAUGAAUUUGGCACACGUAUUAUCCUCCUCUUAGAAUGAGGAAAUUGAGAUACAGAGCAGUUUGUAAGAACUUAUGUGUAAGUCCACACAGCUAAUGAACUGGGGUUCUAACCAAGGUAAUCCGGUUAAGAGCCCAUGCUCUUUGCUGCAAAUCCAUGUCCUUAACCACACUGUACUGU
rnacentral:lncRNA from 10 species